AAUAUAACUAUAGCAAAAAAUGUACUUUAACGGUCAUCAAAAAACUAGUUUUGUUAAAAAUAUACUUCGCACAUGUAGAUACAUUUUGCAUCAAUUUGUACAAAUAUCACAAACAAUUGAAGGGUCCCACAGUGGGGCCCUAUCACUGCUUGACCCACCAUUCUAAGUGAUUUUAGUUCGAAAUGAUGCACAAUAUAGGUG
rnacentral:lncRNA from 1 species